AUUGAACGCUGGCGGCAUGCCUUACACAUGCAAGUCGAACGGCAGCGCGGGAGCAAUCCUGGCGGCGAGUGGCGAACGGGUGAGUAAUACAUCGGAACGUGCCCAAUCGUGGGGGAUAACGCAGCGAAAGCUGUGCUAAUACCGCAUACGAUCUACGGAUGAAAGCAGGGGAUCGCAAGACCUUGCGCGAAUGGAGCGGCCGAUGGCAGAUUAGGUAGUUUGUGGGGUAAAGGGUCACCAAGCCUUCGAUCUGUAGCUGGUCUGAGAGGACGACCAGCCACACUGGGACUGAGACACGGCCCAGACUCCUACGGGAGGCAGCAGUGGGGAAUUUUGGACAAUGGGCGAAAGCCUGAUCCAGCCAUGCCGCGUGCAGGAUGAAGGCCUUCGGGUUGUAAACUGCUUUUGUACGGAACGAAACGGUCUUUUCUAAUAAAGAAGGCUAAUGACGGUACCGUAAGAAUAAGCACCGGCUAACUACGUG
rnacentral:rRNA from 1 species